AACGAACGCUGGCGGCAUGCCUAACACAUGCAAGUCGAACGAGACCUUCGGGUUUAGUGUCGCACGGGUGCGUAACGCGUUGGAACCUGCCCUUAGGUUCGGAAUAACUCCCCGAAAGGGGUGCUAAUACCGGAUAAUGUCUUCGGACCAAAGAUUUAUCGCCUUUGGAUGGGCCCGCGUUGGAUUAGCUUGUUGGUAGGGUAAAAGCCUACCACGGCGACGAUCCAUAGCUGGUCUGAGAGGAUGAUCAGCGACACUGGGACUGAGACACGGCCGAGACUCCUACGGGAGGCAGCAGAGGGGGAUAUAGGACAAUGGGCGGAAGCAUGAUCGAGCAAGGCCGCGUGAGUGAUGAAGGCCGGAGGGUUGUAAAGCUCUUUUACACGGGAGGAGAAUGACAGUACCGGAAGAAUAAGCUCCGGCUAACUCCGUG
rnacentral:rRNA from 1 species